CAUUAGGUGGCUGAAAACAAGCAACGGAAUUUUAAACCGUAUAAUAGUAAAUUAGUGUCUACUUCUAAUGA
rnacentral:tRNA from 1 species